GCUCCAGUAGCGCAGUUGGCAGCGCAGCCGUUUCGUACGCGGCAGGCGUCGGUUCGAUUCCGACCUGGAGCU
rnacentral:tRNA from 1 species